UUUAUGGAGAGUUUGAUCCUGGCUCAGGAUGAACGCUGGCGGCGUGCCUAAUACAUGCAAGUCGAGCGAACUGACGAGGAGCUUGCUCCUUUGACGUUAGCGGCGGACGGGUGAGUAACACGUGG
rnacentral:rRNA from 1 species